rnacentral:tRNA from 1 species
GUUGGGGUGGCAGAAAUAUGCGUCAAAUUUAAGCUUUGGAGAUGGGAGGAAAUUCCCCCCUAGCA